CCUACGGGUGGCAGCAGUGGGGAAUAUUGCACAAUGGGGGAAACCCUGAUGCAGCGACGCCGCGUGAGUGAGGAAGUAUUUCGGUAUGUAAAGCUCUAUCAGCAGGGAAGAAAAUGACGGUACCUGACUGAGAAGCCCCGGCUAACUACGUGCCAGCAGCCGCGGUAAUACGUAGGGGGCAAGCGUUAUCCGGAUUUACUGGGUGUAAAGGGAGCGUAGACGGCUAAUCAAGUCAGAAGUGAAAACCCAGGGCUCAACCUUGGGACUGCUUUUGAAACUGAGUAGCUAGAGUGCAGGAGAGGUAAGCGGAAUUCCUAGUGUAGCGGUGAAAUGCGUAGAUAUUGCGCAGAACUCCGAUUGCGAAGGCAGCAUGCCGGCUCCACACUGACGCUGAGGCACGAAAGCGUGGGUAUCGAACAGGAUUAGAUACCCCAGUAGUC
rnacentral:rRNA from 1 species